UUUAAUUCGAAGCAACGCGAAGAACCUUACCAGGUCUUGACAUCCUUUGACCACUCUAGAGAUAGAGCUUUCCCUUCGGGGACAAAGUGACAGGUGGUGCAUGGUUGUCGUCAGCUCGUGUCGUGAGAUGUUGGGUUAAGUCCCGCAACGAGCGCAACCCUUAUUGUUAGUUGCCAUCAUUUAGUUGGGCACUCUAGCGAGACUGCCGGUGACAAACCGGAGGAAGGUGGGGAUGACGUCAAAUCAUCAUGCCCCUUAUGACCUGGGCUACACACGUGCUACAAUGGGAAGUACAACGAGUCGCUAGACCGCGAGGUCAUGCAAAUCUCUUAAAGCUUCUCUCAGUUCGGAUUGCAGGCUGCAACUCGCCUGCAUGAAGCCGGAAUCGCUAGUAAUCGCGGAUCAGCACGCCG
rnacentral:rRNA from 1 species